CUCCGGUUGAUCCUGCCGGACCCGACUGCUAUCAGAGUGGGACUAAGCCAUGCGAGUCAACAUAGCAAUAUGUGGCAUACGGCUCAGUAACACGUAGUCAACAUGCCCAGGGGACGUGGAUAACCUCGGGAAACUGAGGAUAAACCGCGAUAAGUCACUACUUCUGGAAUGGGUAAUGACUCAAAUCUACAUGGCCCCUGGAUUGGACUGCGGCCGAUCAGGCUGUUGGUGAGGUAAUGGCCCACCAAACCUGUAACCGGUACGGGCUCUGAGAGGAGGAGCCCGGAGAUGGGCACUGAGACAAGGGCCCAGGCCCUAUGGGGCGCAGCAGGCGCGAAACCUCUGCAAUAGGCGAAAGCCUGACAGGGUUACUCUGAGUGAUUUCCGUUAAGGAGAUCUUUUGGCACCUCUAAAAAUGGUGCAGAAUAAGGGGUGGGCAAGUCUGGUGUCAGCCGCCGCGGUAAUACCAGCACCCCGAGUGGUCGGGACGUUUAUUGGGCCUAAAGCAUCCGUAGCCGGUUCUACAAGUCUUCCGUUAAAUCCACCUGCUUAACAGAUGGGCUGCGGAAGAUACUAUAGAGCUAGGAGGCGGGAGAGGCAAGCGGUACUCGAUGGGUAGGGGUAAAAUCCGUUGAUCCAUUGAAGACCACCAGUGGCGAAGGCGGCUUGCCAGAACGCGCUCGACGGUGAGGGAUGAAAGCUGGGGGAGCAAACCGGAUUAGAUACCCGGGUAGUCCCAGCUGUAAACGAUGCGGACUCGGUGAUGAGUUGGCUUCUUGCCAACUCAGUGCCGCAGGGAAGCCGUUAAGUUUGCCGCCUGGGGAGUACGGUCGCAAGACUGAAACUUAAAGGAUUGCCGGGGGACCC
rnacentral:rRNA from 1 species